ACCCACAUCCAUCUUCUUCCUCUGCACGAACAGGUUCUCAACUCCCGCACGUAUGCGUACAAAGGCCGACCUCGUUUAAAAUCCUUUUCAAAUCCUAUCCCGAGUCAACCCCUGACUCAAGUUUCUUGUCCUAUAAAUACCUACAACUCUCCUCGACCGAUUCUCCUAAAAAUCCCACGCUAAAACCACCUAUACGUCGCGAGCUCGUUAUUUGGAUCUCGCCGCAAAAGCUAC
rnacentral:lncRNA from 1 species